CGAUGAAGCCCUUCGGGGUGGAUUAGUGGCGAACGGGUGAGUAACACGUGGGCAAUCUGCCCUUCACUCUGGGACAAGCCCUGGAAACGGGGUCUAAUACCGGAUAAUACCUGCCUGGGCAUCUGGGUGGGUUGAAAGCUCCGGCGGUGAAGGAUGAGCCCGCGGCCUAUCAGCUUGUUGGUGAGGUAGUGGCUCACCAAGGCGACGACGGGUAGCCGGCCUGAGAGGGCGACCGGCCACACUGGGACUGAGACACGGCCCAGACUCCUACGGGAGGCAGCAGUGGGGAAUAUUGCACAAUGGGCGAAAGCCUGAUGCAGCGACGCCGCGUGAGGGAUGACGGCCUUCGGGUUGUAAACCUCUUUCAGCAGGGAAGAAGCGAGAGUGACGGUACCUGCAGAAGAAGCGCCGGCUAACUACGUGCCAGCAGCCGCGGUAAUACGUAGGGCGCAAGCGUUGUCCGGAAUUAUUGGGCGUAAAGAGCUCGUAGGCGGCUUGUCACGUCGGGUGUGAAAGACCGGGGCUUAACCCCGGUUCUGCAUUCGAUACGGGCUAGCUAGAGUGUGGUAGGGGAGAUCGGAAUUCCUGGUGUAGCGGUGAAAUGCGCAGAUAUCAGGAGGAACACCGGUGGCGAAGGCGGAUCUCUGGGCCAUUACUGACGCUGAUGAGCGAAAGCGUGGGGGAGCGAACAGGAUUAGAUACCCUGGUAGUC
rnacentral:rRNA from 1 species